rnacentral:rRNA from 1 species
AGUUGCCAUCAUUAAGUUGGGCACUCUAAGUUGACUGCCGGUGACAAACCGGAGGAAGGUGGGGAUGACGUCAAAUCAUCAUGCCCCUUAUGAUUUGGGCUACACACGUGCUACAAUGGACAAUACAAAGGGCAGCGAAACCGCGAGGUCAAGCAAAUCCCAUAAAGUUGUUCUCAGUUCGGAUUGUAGUCUGCAACUCGACUACAUGAAGCUGGAAUCGCUAGUAAUCGUAGAUCAGCAUGCUACGGUGAAUACGUUCCCGGGUCUUGUACACACCGCCCGUCACACCACGAGAGUUUGUAACACCCGAAGCCGGUGGAGUAACCUUUUAGGAGCUAGCCGUCGAAGGUGGGACAAAUGAUUGGGGUGAAGUCGUAACAAGGUAGCCGUAUCGGAAGGUGCGGCUGGAUCACCUCCUUU